AAGGCCGAAUCUUUGGGGAGGGUGUAGGGUGCUGGGAGUGGGAUGGGGGACAGAUUCACCAAGCUGGGAACAAAUAAAAUAUAGGCAAAUAUCACCAACAGCUGAGGAAACAUCAUCAUCAUCAUCAGAGCCUACCUUCUUUGGAGAUAAGUUACUGCAUCUUGAAUAAUUUUUGCCAUUCAAAACAAAAACUUUACCUUUUGGACCAAGUCUCUUCUUUUGUUUACCUAAGAUUUCUCUGGAAUACAUCCUGGAUACAGAGUUCUUGAAUCAUCAGAGUCCACACCUUUACAUUACUAGCUUCAGCUGUCUGGAAACCUUUAUCAAGGAGAUGAGCAAAACUGGCCAUUCCAUUAUAUCGGAAAGUCGAGACAUGGGGACAUCAACAAGAGCCUUUCUUUGACCGCUGGAACUCUUACCUCUCGACUGUGACCUAGGAGGCAUUCAUCACGCCCUAUUUUACACUUCAUCAUGUCUUAAACCUCUUAAACUUGCCCUAUAUCAAUGAUGGUUUACUGCCAUUCACUUUUACAGAUCUCAUGGUUCAAAGCACUGAGCUCUUGCCUUGUUACAUGAAAACAAUGUUUGGAAUAUUCUUUCAUCCAAAAAAAAACAACUUACAGUGCAUUCGAGGUUUUCCAUUAGUAAAAACCAACCGACAAACAUGUUAUGAGUGCCCUUAAAAUGAAACCUUUAUUUAUCCCCUCUGAAAACUGACAUUUGUUUAGUUUGAGUGUAAAAACUGAAAAAGUAGAAAACUGAAACUGUGUAAACUGUCUAUAGUUAUAGUAUGUCAGUGAUCCAGACUGUAUGUGUAACCAUUG